AAACCAACAGGGAUUCCCUUAGUAACGGCGAGUGAACCGGGAAAAGCUCAAAUUUGAAAUCUGCCAACAGGCCGAGUUGUAAUUUGUAGAUGGCUACACUGCAUAAUAGUAGAUGCUCAAGUUCUUUGGAAAAAGACAUCAUGGAGGGUGACAAUCCCGUGAGGCAUGUUACUAGGAGCAUAUAGUGGGCUUUCUAAGAGUCGAGUUGUUUGGGAAUGCAGCUCAAAGUGCGUGGUGAAUACCAUGUAAAGCUAAAUAUGGACGAGAGACCGAUAGCGAACAAGUACUGUGAAGGAAAGAUGAAAAGCACUCCGAAAGGAGAGUGAAAUAGUACGUGAAAUUGUUAAAGUGGAAGGGCUUGAGAUCAGAAUUGGUAGUUUGGGUUCCACGUCCUCUUGGGGGCGUGUACUCCCUUUCCACCGGGCCAGCGGGAGUUUCGUCUCUUGGGUAAAAGCAGUGGAAUGUAGCAGCUUGUCUGUAUUAUAGCCUCUGUUCAUACAAGACGUCGAGACUUGAUUUGUUGGCGUAAUGAUCUCUAGCCAC
rnacentral:rRNA from 1 species